GACGAACGCUGGCGGCGUGCCUAACACAUGCAAGUCGAACGGAAAGGCCCUGCUUUUGUGGGCUGCUCGAGUGGCGAACGGGUGAGCUACACGUGAGUUACCUGCCCCUGACUUUGGGAUAUCUUCAGGCCACUGGGGUUAAUACCGGAUAGGAGCUCCUGCCGCUUGGUGGGGCUUGGAAAGUUUCGGUGGUUGGGGAUGGACUCGCGGCUUAUCAGCUUGGUCGUGGGGUAGUGGCUUACCAAGGCAUUGAUGGGUAGCCGGGCUGCGAGGGUGACCGGCCACGUUAGGACGGAAAUGCGGCCCGGACUCGUACGGGAGGCAGGAGUGCGGAAUAUAAAACAAUGGGCGGAAGCCUGAUGCAGCAACGCCGCGUGCGGUGUGACGGGAAUCGGGUAGUAAACCGCUUUCGCCUGUGACGAAACGAUAAUGACGGUAAUGGGUGAAGAAGCACCGGCUAACUACGUG
rnacentral:rRNA from 1 species